GGUCAUUUUAAAUUUUAUAGUCAAAUUUUUGUUUUUCUUUUUGGAACUCAAAAUUUCUCCGUUUGUGUUCCAGAAUAAAUUAACAGCAUACAGGUUUUGAAGAGGGUGAGUAAAUAAUGACAGUAUUUUCUUUCAGUGUUUUAAAGUGACCUUUAAAUGUUAAGCAGGCACACAUUUACCAACCCACUUUGACAUGUCUUCGCAGAACGCCGUCUGAGGAGACACAAGCUCAGCAUUGACUGAUCUGGCAGGAGUGAUCGGGACUUUCAAGUGGAUGCCGAAGUGUUUCAAUAUCCUUCUAUUGUCAUGAGCCUGCGUCACAACCAAGGAUGGAGAUGGGAUCGAGUUGGAGCUGGCUAUUAAACCGCAGGCUUGAUUAGAGGAUGAUGGAAUUGUCCUGCAGCAAAAUGGGGAAAUGCUCAAGAGCUCCACUUCCCACUCUCAGGUACUACGGGAAAUCUGCCCGUAGAAGCUGCUGAAGUACUCCACUGAUUUCUGAUCUUUAGAGACUCAACAUGUCGCACUGUUGGUAAUGUAAUGUAUCUUUAAUUUUUUGUCUCACGCUCCCUCUCUCUUUCCUUCUAUUAUGUGUCUUCCUAUGCAACUGUUUUCUGUUUGUCAACACAAAAGUGAAAAAAAAAACAGCUGCUUCGUGUGAGAUCUGAUCAGGCCUCAGUAAAUCGUGAGCAAGAGGGCAUGACAGAUAGUGAAAGAGAGAAACCGCUUAUGAAAACCAGCCUUGUGUGAACAGCAUCCAGAUCCAUCCUGGUAAUUUGACUAAUAAGCAGGACAAACAGAGAAUUUGUUUUACUCAC
ensembl:lncRNA